UACGGAGGGUGCAAGCGUUAAUCGGAAUUACUGGGCGUAAAGUGUGCGCAGGCGGUUUUGUUAAGUCUGUUGUGAAAUCCCCGAGCUCAACUUGGGAAUUGCAAUGGAUACUGGCAGGCUGGAGUAUGGUAGAGGAAGGUGGAAUUCCCGGUGUAGCAGUGAAAUGCGUAGAGAUCUGGAGGAACACCGGUGGCGAAGGCGACAUCCUGGACCGGUAUUGACGCUGAGGCGCGAAAGCCAGGGGAGCAAAGCGGG
rnacentral:rRNA from 1 species